rnacentral:rRNA from 1 species
UACGAAGGGGGCUAGCGUUGUUCGGAAUUACUGGGCGUAAAGCGCACGUAGGCGGCACUGUUAGUCAGGCGUGAAAGUCCUGGGCUCAACCUGGGAACUGCGCUUGAUACGGCAGAGCUAGAGGAUGGAAGAGGCUCGCGGAAUUCCCAGUGUAGAGGUGAAAUUCGUAGAUAUUGGGAAGAACACCGGUGGCGAAGGCGGCGAGCUGGUCCAUUACUGACGCUGAGGCGCGACAGCGUGGGGGAGCAAACAGG